ACCUAUUUAAGAGCUGGCUACCAGUGGGGAAGGAUCUCUUCUGGAGAUUGCCUCUGCUGGUGUUUUGUAAGUGAGCCCAGGAUAAGGAGCAGAAAGAUGAUGAAACUAACCUCAGCUUGUGCCUUGCCACCAGUCAAAACAUACACAUGUCCAGUUUCAUGCAGAAAGUGAAUGGAUGGUACUGCAUACUUUAUUCAGAAUACCAUUGGAGAAGAACAAAUGCUAUUCAAAACAAGAACAAGCCAAAAGUACCCUGGGGUUAUUGUAAACUCCAGCAGAUUUUUUGCAGGUGUUCUAGUCUUCAACAGCACAGUGAGAUUUUUCAUUCAUGUUUUGCCUGCAUCCUGGAAAACCAUGCUGAUGUGAAUAUCCAAGCUAAAGAAAACAAAGCCCAAUGUAAAUUUCAAAAAAAGAACUGGCUUUAUAUCCCAUGGAUUAUUAUAUAGCUGUGUUCACAAGCUGUGCCCAGGCAUCUCAGGCAUGUUGAACUAUUCAAGCAUAAACAGAGCCAAGAUUAUUUAUAGUUCUUUUGUGUCAUACUGGAUGAGGCUGUUUUGCAAUUGGAUAAAUAAUAGGGCCCGAGGUGACACAUACUAUAGUAUUGGUAGAGGGAAAGAGGGGGAAAUCGUGAAAUUGAAAUGCUUGAAAGUCUACAAACUAUAGCAAGAGCAACCAAUGUCAUGAGAAAGUCAUUCCUCUUCACAACACGUGAUUUUGGGUUCCUUUUAAUCAUUUUGUCUAGCUGUGUACUCUGUUUUAUGAUGGUUUAAUUGUAGCUGUACUUCAAAUGUGGUAUGCUGAUGGGGGACAGCAGGGGAGCAUUAGGCAUAAAAUUUAACUGCAAAGCUCAAUGCAAUCCUAAUUAUGGUGCUGCUAUGACACCUCCAUAAUUACUCUUUCUUAUCCACUGGCUCUACUAAAAUAAUUCACAAGACAAAAAGCAAGCUGAGAAUGCCAGCAUUGUCACUGCAGUCCAAAUCUAGACAGGACUAAAGUAUGGUGAUGGCUGGCUUUUUGACAUGCACAUCCUUCCACAGAAUUUACAAAAGACUUAUUUUAAGCAGUCAGUUUCCAUGUAAUCCAAAAGACAUCUAAACCAGCUGGAAGGAAAUGUGGAUGAGAAGUACUUAAAAUCUCAUCUUUCUCAGGCUACUCUGUGCAAGUUGAGGUAGUAGUUUUUCUGAGAUCAGGAUCUACAGUCCUGCAGGAUGUAGGAACUUUCUUAGCACAUGAAGGCUACUUACACUUUUCCUCUUAAAAACAGCAAGAAAUAAGAGUGUGGAACUUGUGCCAUUAUUUUGCUUUCUUAUAGCAACCUAGAAGCAUGGCAUCUCGUUAAUGGACAAAAUGAGUAAGUAUCACCAUGCCUUACUCCUUCUCUAGAUCAGGAGCGCAGUGACAGGGCUGGCAUUCUCAGCUUGCUCCUUGUCUUGUGAAACACUCAGGGGAGACAGCACAUGGGAAUGAUUAAUGACAAAUGUGUCAUAGCGGCACAGUAAUUAGAAUUGCCCUGGGCUUUGAACUUGAUUUGGGAAGCAUAAAUCAAUCUUCAGUUCUCCCUUUGCCUUAUUGUGGGACUACAGAGGCAAAUUCCUCUUGCAGACUCUUCUUUUCAUUAAUUCGCCAUUUUUAAAGAUUAUCCAAUCUAGCCCCCUCACUUUUCAGUUCAAAUGCUUUAAUGAGAAAGGACGAACGGGAGUUUGCAUUCUUGGGCAGAGGAUCAAGUCAAGCUCUGACCUUUUCACUAUAAUGCAAUGGAUACCAGGCCUGGAGAACCCUCUUAGUACUUCUUCCCCCUCUUCCUCUGACCCCAGUUAUGAUACAAAGGAAUCUAAUCAAGCCUAGAUAAUUUAGUACUUUUACCAAGAAAGCAGUAAAUAUGUCCAUGCUCAGUGACAAAACCUGCAGCAAUCUUGAAUACUCCACUAGGAAAAUGCAGGUGCAUAUUCACAGGCCUUUCAGUACCAACAAUGACAUUUUGUGCUCAUCACUCCUGUUUUUGGGGCUCCAUUUUGCCUGUCUUUGUGUCCUAGACUUUAUAUCUCAAAGUGUAACCAGAGCUGAAGGAUCAAAGUGAGUCCGUAUAACCUGUUGUGAGAAUCCUUCUCUGUUUUUUGGCUCAAAGCUUGCUUCCUGAGGUUUUUCUUGCGAUAAGACUCUGAAUGAUUUGUUGAGGAGGCAACUAAUGGGUGCUAACCGUGUGACAAUGGAUAUCGCUUUGGGAACAUUUGCAAGCCCCUUCCCCCAGAGCUGCUUGCUCUGUAGAAGAGCGGAAGAGAGUGCUCAGCAGUGUUCACUGGCGGAAGAUCUGGUCUGUGGCCAAACCACUCCAGCUAAGUAUGGAAUGAUACCAUUGUAUCUUGCGAAGGCAAGAUGCAAGUUGGUGCCUCCCUGCUUCCUCUUAUCUGCUGGCAAGGCCAGAAAGAUAAGAACAAAGGAGGUUCCUGCUGAGAUCCCAGAGCCAGAAGCUGCCACCGCAAGGAGAACUGACUCAACCACCUUGGGUUUGAGCUGUCACUCAAAGGAGAGCUGAUUCGACCACUUUGGAUUUGAGCUGUCACUCCAAAAAGAGCUGACUCAACCACUGUAAAGCACUGAAAAAGGGCCAUCAUCACCAUGGUCGUCGUCGUCAUUGGCAACAGGACAACUCUGCCUGACGACCCACUGCUACUGAAGAUCAAAGACUGAACUACGAACCUCGCUGGAUCCAUGGUGGUGACUAUCUCCCUCUUGCUUCCUAUAAAGACUCCUUGCUUCUUCUUUUCUAUCUUUUCUAUCGCCCUCCUUCCCUUCCCCCAUUACCCUAAUUCAUAAUAGUGUCCGUUCUCCCCUUCCCCAUUUCCCCUGAUUUUUGUUUUGAUAUUUGUAAUAAACUGGUUGGACCAACACUUGAACCGUUGCUUCUUAAUCUCACGCCGGGUAUAUAGGUAAUAAAAGAACCUCCUCUCCCUCCUAUAAAUUGGAGCGAGACAUUUAUUUAAUGGCGUAGUCGUUGCAGGAUACCCGCUGUGAGAGUGUUGUCCUUCCAGAUCUAGUUUGAAACUUUUUUUUUUUCUGUAUGCACCUCCUGGAGUUGCAAGGAGCGAUAGUUUUGAAAAUUUAGAUGUGAGUCCUUCUCCAGGAAGACCGCUCCAUGUUCUGAAACUUUGCCUUUUAUGUGUGUACCUCUCGGGGACGUAUUUUGACUAUUUGCAUUUUGUUUAAUACGUGUGUGCCUCCUCGGGAAGACCUCUGUGAUUAUUUGGUAACUGAAGUGCGGUGUGUCUGUGUGCGCGUGCCUCUUGGGGAAGUGAGGAAGUGAUAUUUUGUUACUUAAACGUGUGUGCCUCUCCAAGAAAGUUUAUUUACUCUAUUGAAACCUAGAAAGUGUUGCUUUAGCUUCGCAUUUUUUGUGCUCCCCCAAAGAAAGGAGAAGUGAUUGGAUCAUUUGCAUUUGUUUAGGUGUGGUGUAUCUCCCUGGGAGGAGCGGUGAGGAGUAACUGAGCUUUUGAAUACGUGUACCUUUUCCUCCCUUAGUGUUGGUCUUUCAUUGUAUUGAAAAAAAUGAGCGACAGCAUUGCCAACAUGAAAAGUGAAGAUGUAUUAUUUGAUCUUUUAGAAAAACAUGGUGCUCGACCCUCUUUAUCAGGUAUGGAUUGGGCACGACAGAACUGGUAUAACUUGCAGAGUGUUUCGGACCGUAUUAGUAUCCUGCAAAAGAAUGCUCGUACCCGAGCUGGAAAAGGAAAGUCGUUUAUUUGUGCCGUACUCGGGGCUACUUUAAAAGCAGCCGUGGAGUUCCGAGAUGAAAAGCAUUCGGCAGAAACCCAAAUUAUACAAGCACUGCAGGAAUCGGUUAAAGUAACACAAGAAUUGGUGAAAACUCUGCAGAAUCAAAUAGUGAACCUUGAGGAACAAUUAGAAAGAGAGAAAUGUAAUUCGGCUUUGUUGCAAAUGGCUUUUAAGGAACUGCUAACGUGUAAGCAUGCCAGCCAUACCGUCACCCAUAGUUUGCCUCGAGAAAAAACUUUUCCUCAGGUGGAACUACCAGGAAUGAAGGAAAGGCUAGAUAAAUUAGAAAUUCCAAUAGCCUCAUUGCAUCCUUUGAUUAAAAACUGAAUACACAUUCGAUAACAGUGAGGAUCUAGAUCCUCAAAUUAAUGUUAAAGAAAUUCCCUUCUCAGCCACUGAACUAGCAAAAUUGAAAAAAGAUUUCAGCCGCUCUCCAAAGGAAUCAGAGACAGAAUAUGUAUGGAGGAUUAGCCUCACUGGUGGCGACCAGAUUCGGUUAACAGAAAAGGAAGCAGAAGGUUACUGGGGACCAGGAGUAUUUUUAACUAAUGGUGACAAUCGUGCUCCCUGGUCCUUAACGCAAAGGGCUGCCUAUUGUGCAGGUGGUCUCAACCCUUUAGAACGGGGAGACCCUCUUGCCAUUACUGGAACAGUUGAUCAGUUAGUAGAGAGUGUUCAAAAGGCUGCUUGUCUCCAAAUGACGUACGAUAGAAAGCUGCAGCCACACCAUGAAUCACCUAUGAUGAUGCCUGUUGAUCCGGAGAGAAUGACUGCUUUAAUUAGGGGGCUUCCAGAGUCGUUAAAACCUAUAGGUAUACAACUGCAAGGAAAAAUACAGGUAAUGUCUCAGGGAGAGAGAACCCAGCCAGUGUUAGAAGGAACUGUAACCCCCAACCAUCUGCAGUCAGGAAACAAAGCAUGGACGUGGGGAGAGGUUGCCCAAGAGUUAAUUAACUAUGGAAGGAAAUAUGGGCCAGUGGUUUCUUCCUCCACUAAAUUUGAGCCAAGAGAAGUAAGACUUGCAGCAGUCAGCCUUGCCCCCAGGCCUCCUAGCUCAAAACUCAGUGGGACUGGAAGGGUCUCACUGUCAGUGAAAACAGGUAGGAGAAAUAUUGAUCAUAAACGUAAUUGUCUCUGGAUACUGGGCUGGUAAAAGGGUGUUCCAUGAGAUUUGAUGAAUGGAUUACCCACUGUCAGGUUGGAGAAAUUAGUUAACUGGUGGCCAGAACAAAAGCUCCAGAAUCCUGAGGAAAGCAAGACUCCAGGUCCUAGGGUCUCUCCCAAGGAACGUGAACGGCUCUCCAAGCCGUCAGAAAACUGAUGUCUUCGCCCCUCCCAAGUGAGCGGGGUGGGGGCGGUGAAGGGUGGGUGCAUGAGAAAGCUCACAACAAAGGGAAACAAGAUCCUCGAUUUAACACCUUCUGUCCAAAGGCCCCACCACUCUUGCCAGUUAUCCCUGUGAGUCACGAUCCAGUGGCUGAUAACCAGGGAAACUCUCUUAACCUCCCUGGCCAGACUGUGUCGAUUGACUCAGCUAGCCUGAGGCCAGUUUCCCCUAACCUUAACAGGAUCCCUUAACAAAAAUCUUUGGAAGGCUAAAGACACCCCGAAAAAGGAAUAUGAAAUCAACACUUGCUGGAUUGUUCCCUCAUUUUUUAACCAUAUUAACAAAGCCCAAAAAGGGCAAGUCGGUGUCUUGUUUUAUUUCACAGAAGAUCCCCGUGGGACCUUGACAGAACACAAAAAGGCUAAUAGCUGAUUUUAACUAUUUGUAUUUUGUGACAGAAAUGCUGAAGAUUUGAUCAUGCUAGAAUACUAAAUGUAUCUCUUGAUUACAUUUUUUGGUUGCAAUAGUGUUAUGUUUUGUGUUGUUGUGGGUGUGGGUGGUGAUUGGUAUCAGUCCUUGGAUCUGUUAAACUUCACAACUGAGUUCAGGGUUUUUACAGGUCAUCCUGGCUUACUGGUACUCCCUGCACAGUGAUACCAUUUCUUUUGAUCCUUUCUUUCACCCCUUUUUACCAAACUGAUUAUGAUUUGCAUGUAACUCCUUCACAGUGUUUCCAAAUUCCUAACAAACUGGGAAAUGAAUCAAGGGACCCAUCUAAUAUCUGUUAGAUGUGGUCACAAAAGAAAUCUAUCAUAAAGCCUUUUGCACAGAUGCAUGUUUCUGGGAUUACCCCUCUUUGAUGGUUUGUACUGUGGGGGUAUCCUGCACACGCUAUCCUGUGAAAAGUUCUGUGGACUGUAACAAUACUUGAACUUGCCAAACUAAUAUUUGUAUCUCUUAGCAUUUGAAUUGCUUUGGAAAUGCUCAAGUGGAAAGUUCUCAAGUCCACGUAUUGUCAAAUUAGACUAGAUAUGCUUUUAGUAAAUUAAGUGAAGUGUAAUAUUGUGGAGCUAUUCAUAAACACCACAACCUCUACUGAAGAAUUCCCAUCUGGAUCCUGGCUUACACUGGGAGUUCCUGGGUGGGGAAAGCAGCUGACACAAAUACCUAAGUUUGUUUUACUUAUUUGUUUAUUAUUAUUGGUUAUUGCCAAAUGUAUAGUUGUCUCUUUUCACUUUCUAUCUUUAAUUCAUCAUGUAACAUUCAUGUCACCACUCCUGAGGUGUCACCGAGUGGUGUAUGUGGCAAAUUGAAUGAUUCUAAUUGUAGUCUAAAGAUUGAUGAUAAUGGUGAAGUUGUUAAACAAAUUGCCCAGGGUAUACGGAAGAUAGCCAAUGUUCCUGUCCAAACCUGGAAGGGCCUAGACGUUGAUUUCUUUUCCUGGCUUCCAGGUGGCCCAUGGGUCAAACGUAUCCUGUUUUAUCUACUGUGUGUUGUUGCAACUCUUAUGUUUGUACCUUGUAUGAUUCCAUGUUUCAUUCAACUGAUACAACGUGUUGUAUCCUCCAUGUACUUUGUAACCAGUUCAACUGAUGAUGGACAAGUCCUGCAGAUCAGGGCAACAUUUGUAACCAAGCCCAAGAAAUCUUUUGUAGUAAUUAUGUAACGAUUAUCUUCCCCUUAUCCCCCUCCUCCUUCCCCCCCCUGCUUCUUUGCUGUCUUUUUAUUUUCUGCCUUUUCCUCACAACUGUGGAGGGUCACUUAUGCUUCAUUUCAAGCAAUCUUUGAGCAACGGGGUGGUGUGAGAAUCCUUCUCUGUUUUUUGGCUCAAAGCUUGCUUCCUGAGGUUUUUCUUGCGAUAAGACUCUGAAUGAUUUGUUGAGGAGGCAACUAAUGGGUGCUAACCGUGUGACAAUGGAUAUUGCUUUGGGAACAUUUGAAAGCCCCUUCCCCCAGAGCUGCUUGCUCUGUAGAAGAGCGGAAGAGAGUGCUCAGCAGUGUUCACUGGCGGAAGAUCUGGUCUGUGGCCAAACCGCUCCAGCUAAGUAUGGAAG